rnacentral:rRNA from 1 species
AAUGAACGCUGGCGGCGCGCCUAAUACAUGCAAGUCGAGCGAGAAGACGUAGCAAUACGUUUGUAAAGCGGCGAACGGGUGAGGAAUACAUGGGUAACCUACCCUCGAGUGGGGAAUAACUAGCCGAAAGGUUAGCUAAUACCGCGUACGCUCCUUGGACUUCGGUUCAGGGAGGAAAGCGAUACCGUGGGUAUCGCGCUCUUGGUUGGGCUCAUGUCCUAUCAGCUUGUUGGUGAGGUAACGGCUCGCCAAGGCUUCGACGGGUAGCUGGUCUGAGAGGACGAUCAGCCACACUGGCACUGCGACACGGGCCAGACUCCUACGGGAGGCAGCAGUAAGGAAUAUUGCGCAAUGGGCGAAAGCCUGACGCAGCGACGCCGCGUGGGGGAUGAAGGUCUUCGGAUUGUAAACCCCUUUCGGGAGGGAAGAUAGGAACGAGCAAUCGUUCGGACGGUACCUCCAGAA